rnacentral:tRNA from 4 species
GGAGAGGUGGCAGAGUGGUCGAAUGCGCUGCACUCGAAAUGCAGUGUGCGGGCAACCGUACCGUGGGUUCGAAUCCCACCCUCUCCGCCA